UUCCCCUACAAAUAAUGGGUGGGGGAAGAAGGAGCGAGGAAGAAGGGGCCUUGCAAAAAAGGUUCCUUUUUCGCCAGGCCCAUUCUUCGUAGACUCGUACUUUUAUAAUCUUGUAUUUUGAAUAUGUGCAACCUAAGUCCAGUAACCACACUCACAGAAAUAUUAUUAGGAUUUGUAGACGAAUAUGACACUACCGAUAUGGUGAUAAAUUUACCACCGACUGGUUACCAUUAUCACCAGAUUCGUUAUAAUUGUCACCAAACCGGCAAUAUUUGUAACCAGUCGGUUUCAAAUUUAUAACCAAUCAGUUGUAAAUUUAUCACCAUGGCGGUAGAGUCAUAUUCGUCUACUCUUUGGUUAUAAUCGUAACCACACUUCUAAGAGUGCAGAAGCACAAAUGUAAUAGGAUAACAAACAGAGAGCAGAUCUUAAACUAAUUAAUAUUAUCCAUGUAACCUAUAGCCGGGGUCGUCGCGAAAUAAGUUCAUCGAGAAAAUGCAACCGGCCAGGAGAUGCUGGAUUGCCAGGAAAUUAAUCAAGAGUGGAGUAUUCCUUUUGUAUGGGUAUUUAAAAACAAACAUUUUGCAUGGAUUGAUGAAUUUACAUAUGUUUAUUUAGACUUAAUAUUUACUCAUCAUGAGGAACAAUUAUACCCUU